GACGAACGCUGGCGGCGUGCUUAACACAUGCAAGUCGAACGGUAAGGCCCUUCGGGGUACACGAGUGGCGAACGGGUGAGUAACACGUGGGUGAUCUGCCCUGCACUUCGGGAUAAGCCUGGGAAACUGGGUCUAAUACCGGAUAGGACUCCUGGCUUCAUGGUUGGGGGUGGAAAGCCUUUGCGGUGUGGGAUGGGCCCGCGGCCUAUCAGCUUGUUGGUGGGGUAAUGGCCUACCAAGGCGACGACGGGUAGCCGGCCUGAGAGGGUGACCGGUCACACUGGGACUGAGAUACGGCCCAGACUCCUGCGGGAGGCAGCAGUGGGGAAUAUUGCACAAUGGGCGCAAGCCUGAUGCAGCGACGCCGCGUGAGGAAUGACGGCCUUCGGGUUGUAAACCUCUUUCAGCUAUGACGAAGCGCAAGUGACGGUAGUAGCAGAAGAAGGACCGGCCAACUACGUGCCAGCCGCCGCGGUAA
rnacentral:rRNA from 1 species